rnacentral:rRNA from 1 species
GAUCAUGCCUCAGUAUGAACGCUGGCGGCGUGCUUAACACAUGCAAGUCGAGCGGGGAUUAUUUCAUUGAAGCUUCGGCAGAUUUGGCUUAAUCCUAGUGGCGGACGGGUGAGUAACGCGUGGGUAACCUGCCUUGUACAGGGGGAUAACAGUCAGAAAUGACUGCUAAUACCGCAUAAGCGCACAGGACCGCAUGGUCCGGUGUGAAAAACUCCGGUGGUAUAAGAUGGAUCCGCGUUGGA